CAUAUCAAUAAGCGGAGGAAAAGAAACCAACAGGGAUUGCCUCAGUAACGGCGAGUGAAGCGGCAACAGCUCAAAUUUGAAAUCUGGCUCCCUUCAGGGGGUCCGAGUUGUAAUUUGCAGAGGAUGCUUUUGGCGAGGCGCUGACCGAGUCCCCUGGAAUGGGGCGCCACAGAGGGUGAGAGCCCCGUAUGAUCAGAUGCCGAACCAGUGUAAAGCUCCUUCGACGAGUCGAGUAGUUUGGGAAUGCUGCUCUAAAUGGGAGGUAAAUUUCUUCUAAAGCUAAAUACCGGCCAGAGACCGAUAGCGCACAAGUAGAGUGAUCGAAAGAUGAAAAGCACUUUGAAAAGAGGGUUAAAAAGCACGUGAAAUUGUUGAAAGGGAAGCGCCUAUGACCAGACUUGAUCUCAGGGGAUCAUCCGCCGUUCUCGGCGGUGCACUCCCCUGAGCUUCAGGCCAGCAUCGGUUCUCUCCGGGGGAUAAAAGCGCUGGGAACGUGGCUCCUUUCGGGGAGUGUUAUAGCCCAGCGUACAAUGCUCCGGGGGGGACCGAGGACCGCGCCUCACGGCAAGGAUGCUGGCGUAAUGGUCACCGGCGACCCGUCUUGAAACACGGACCAAGGAGUCAAGCAUUAGGGCGAGUGUACGGGUGUAAAACCCGAACGCGCAGUGAAAGCGAACGCUGGUGAGAGCUUCGGCGCAUCACCGACCGAUCCUGAAGUCUUCGGAUGGAUUUGAGUAGGAGCCUUAACGCUUGGACCCGAAAGAUGGUGAACUAUGCCUGAAUAGGGUGAAGCCAGAGGAAACUCUGGUGGAGGCUCGCAGCGGUUCUGACGUGCAAAUCGAUCGUCAAAUUUGGGCAUAGGGGCGAAAGACUAAUCGAACCAUCUAGUAGCUGGUUACCGCCGAAGUUUCCCUCAGGAUAGCAGUGUUGUUCUUCAGUUUUAUGAGGUAAAGCGAAUGAUUAGGGACUCGGGGGCGCUAUUAUGCCUUCAUC
rnacentral:rRNA from 1 species